rnacentral:rRNA from 1 species
UAACGCGUAUGCAAUCUGCCUUCCACAGAGGGAUAGCCCAGAGAAAUCUGGAUUAAUACCUCAUAGCAUUACAGGAUGGCAUCAUCCGGUAAUUAAAGUCACAACGGUGGAAGAUGAGCAUGCGUCCCAUUAGCUAGUUGGUAAGGUAACGGCUUACCAAGGCGACGAUGGGUAGGGGUCCUGAGAGGGAGAUCCCCCACACUGGUACUGAGACACGGACCAGACUCCUACGGGAGGCAGCAGUGAGGAAUAUUGGUCAAUGGGUGCAAGCCUGAACCAGCCAUGCCGCGUGCAGGAUGACGGUCCUAUGGAUUGUAAACUGCUUUUGUACGGGAAGAAACACUGAUUCGUGAAUCAGCCUGACGGUACCGUAAGAAUAAGGAUCGGCUAACUCCGUGCCAGCAGCCGCGGUAAUACGGAGGAUCCAAGCGUUAUCCGGAAUCAUUGGGUUUAAAGGGUCUGUAGGCGGUCUUGUAAGUCAGUGGUGAAAGCCCAUCGCUCAACGGUGGAACGGCCAUUGAUACUGCAGGACUUGAAUUACCGGGAAGUAACUAGAAUAUGUAGUGUAGCGGUGAAAUGCUUAGAUAUUACAGGGAAUACCAAUUGCGAAGGCAGGUUACU